AAGUCGUAACAAGGUUUCCGUAGGUGAACCUGCGGUUGGAUCAUUAACAAAUAUUAUUGAGUUUCCUCUCCCGAAUGGGAGGGGGAAUCUCUCUAACACUUGUGUGCACUGUUUACUGUCUCUCGGUGGAAAGGUUACCCCCUUUUCACCAACUUUUAAAAAAACUUUAAAAACUUUAUGCCUUUAAUUUUAAAUUUAUAAUUUGAAAACAACUUUUAACAACGGAUCUCUAGGCUCUCA
rnacentral:misc_RNA from 1 species